rnacentral:rRNA from 1 species
AGAGUUUGAUCCUGGCUCAGGACGAACGCUGGCGGCGUGCCUAAUACAUGCAAGUCGAGCGCGUGAGACUUAUUGAUCUCUUCGGAGUGACGUAAGUGGAUCGAGCGGCGGACGGGUGAGUAACACGUGGGCAACCUGCCUGUAAGACUGGGAUAACUUCGGGAAACCGGAGCUAAUACCGGAUAGUCUUUCGCACCGCAUGGUGCGAAAGGGAAAGAUGGUUCUGCCAUCACUUACAGAUGGGCCCGCGGCGCAUUAGCUAGUUGGUGAGGUAAUGGCUCACCAAGGCGACGAUGCGUAGCCGACCUGAGAGGGUGAUCGGCCACACUGGGACUGAGACACGGCCCAGACUCCUACGGGAGGCAGCAGUAGGGAAUCUUCCACAAUGGACGAAAGUCUGAUGGAGCAACGCCGCGUGAGUGAGGAAGGUUUUCGGAUCGUAAAGCUCUGUUGUUGGAGAUGAACAAGUGCCAUAGGAAAUGAUGGCGCCUUGACGGUAUCCAACCAGAAAGCCCCGGCUAACUACGUGCCAGCAGCCGCGGUAAUACGUAGGGGGCGAGCGUUGUCCGGAAUUAUUGGGCGUAAAGCGCGCGCAGGCGGUUUCUUAAGUCUGAUGUGAAAGCCCGUGGCUCAACCACGGAGGGUCAUUGGAAACUGGGAAGCUUGAGUGCAGAAGAGGAGAGUGGAAUUCCACGUGUAGCGGUGAAAUGCGUAGAUAUGUGGAGGAACACCAGUGGCGAAAGCGGCUCUCUGGUCUGUAACUGACGCUGAGGCGCGAAAGCGUGGGGAGCAAACAGGAUUAGAUACCCUGGUAGUCCACGCCGUAAACGAUGAGUGCUAGGUGUUAGGGGGGUCCAACCCCUUAGUGCUGAAGUUAACACAUUAAGCACUCCGCCUGGGGAGUACGACCGCAAGGUUGAAACUCAAAGGAAUUGACGG